AGAGUUUGAUCCUGGCUCAGAUUGAACGCUGGCGGCAUGCCUUACACAUGCAAGUCGAACGGUAACAGGUCUUCGGAUGCUGACGAGUGGCGAACGGGUGAGUAAUACAUCGGAACGUGCCCGAUCGUGGGGGAUAACGAGGCGAAAGCUUUGCUAAUACCGCAUACGAUCUACGGAUGAAAGCGGGGGAUCUUCGGACCUCGCGCGGACGGAGCGGCCGAUGGCAGAUUAGGUAGUUGGUGGGAUAAAAGCUUACCAAGCCGACGAUCCGUAGCUGGUCUGAGAGGAUGAUCAGCCACACUGGGACUGAGACACGGCCCAGACUCCUACGGGAGGCAGCAGUGGGGAAUUUUGGACAAUGGGCGCAAGCCUGAUCCAGCAAUGCCGCGUGCAGGAUGAAGGCCUUCGGGUUGUAAACU
rnacentral:rRNA from 1 species